rnacentral:rRNA from 1 species
GAUGAACGCUGGCGGCGUGCCUAAUACAUGCAAGUCGAGCGAAGAGGGGACGGGUGAGUAACACGUGGAUAACCUCCUAUAAGACUGGGAUAACUUCGGGAAACCGGCGCUAACCCGGAUACUUAUCGCUGGCUCCGCUUUGCAUUAGCUAGUUGGUAAGGUAACGGCUUACCAAGGCCACGAUGCAUAGCCGACCUGAGAGGGUGAUCGGCCACACUGGAACUGAGACACGGUCCAGACUCCUACGGGAGGCAUCAGUAGUGAAUCGUCCGCAAUGGGCGAAAGCCUGACGGAGCCACGCCGCGUGAGUGAAGAAGGUCUUCGGAUCGUAAAACUCUGUUAGUAGGGAAGCGGUACCUAAUCAGAAAGCCACGGCUAACUACGUGCCAGCAGCCGCGGUAAUAC